UGGGGAAUAUUGGACAAUGGGCGCAAGCCUGAUCCAGCGAUGCCGCGUGUGUGAAGAAGGCCUGCGGGUUGUAAAGCACUUUUUAGCGAGGACGAGGUUUUAGGGGGUUAAUAGGUCUCUAAGAUGACGGUACUCGCAGAAAAAGCACCGGCUAACUCUGUGCCAGCAGCCGCGGUUAAUACGUAGGGACCAAGCGUUGUUCGGAUUUACUGGGCGUAAAGGGCGCGUAGGCGGCAAUUCAAGUCCAUCUGUGAAAUCUCCGGGCUUAACUCGGAACGGUCAGAUGAUACUGCUUUGCUAGAGUGCAGAAGGGGCAAUCGGAAUUCUUGGUGUAGCGGUGAAAUGCGUAGAUAUCAAGAGGAACACCUGAGGUGAAGACGGGUUGCUGGGCUGACACUGACGCUGAGGCACGAAAGCCAGAGGAGCAAACAGGAUUAGAUACCCCAGUAGUCCCUGAGCGGGCUGGCAAGGCGCAU
rnacentral:rRNA from 1 species